GGAGGAAGGAAGCAUGGUAGUGCGCACGGAGAUUGCCACAAGGUGGUCUGCAUGUCUGCUUGCCGUGACGCCUUCGGGUUUUGAUCUUGCAGGCCUGGAUUUGACCCACAUUU
rfam:Oryza brachyantha chromosome 5, whole genome shotgun sequence.